UACGGAGGGAGCUAGCGUUGUUCGGAAUUACUGGGCGUAAAGCGCACGUAGGCGGCUUUGUAAGUUAGAGGUGAAAGCCCGGAGCUCAACUCCGGAAUUGCCUUUAAGACUGCAUCGCUUGAAUCCAGGAGAGGUGAGUGGAAUUCCGAGUGUAGAGGUGAAAUACGUAGAUAUUCGGAAGAACACCAGUGGCGAAGGCGGCUCACUGGACUGGUAUUGACGCUGAGGUGCGAAAGCGUGGGGAGCAAACAGG
rnacentral:rRNA from 1 species